AGCAAGCCCAAAUGGCCAAAAUAGAUGGAACUCUUACACACUUGGGCCUUUAAAGAGAUGAUCUGAUGAGAGGACAGAGAGCCAUGAUCCCAAAAGAUCAGGUCGGAAGCUGCUGAAAUGACAACCUCUGCCCUGGCAGAGUAAACAUAACCUCCCGUGGCCCUGAAGGUAUGAACAUAGUGACAAUACUCAGACGGGCUGUCACAUUCCCAUCGUGUCUGACGGCGCAAAGUGUGUCAAGAAAACAUUCCCCAUGUACCAUCACAACACCAGCAGCCGCCUGUUGUCUCUGGUUGUCUUCAUGCUGUUGACUCUUAAAUUCAGCCUGUCACCUGCGGCCUCAGCAAAAAUGUACAGUUUUUUUUUUUUUUUUUUUAAAUUGUCCAAUGUUGGUGAGUGUGUGUCCACAGCAGCAUCACAUUCCUGUUUUUGACUGACAGAAGAACCUGAGGGGGUCUUCUACUGCAGUGCAGAAGGUAACCACACGAGAUAAGAAGACGACAAAACAACAAGAGAAAGGCGCAGACAAGGAAGAAUAAUUAAAUACAUUUAAAGCACAAAAGAAUGAUGACAGUUAGAAUAAAUAACAAUAUAAUGGUGAAAUAUGAAAAGGAAAGGUAUGGCACCUUCAUUGAUGCAU